rnacentral:rRNA from 1 species
GAUGAACGCUGGCGGCGUGCCUAAUACAUGCAAGUCGAGCGAACGGACGAGAAGCUUGCUUCUCUGAUGUUAGCGGCGGACGGGUGAGUAAAACGUGGAUAACCUACCUAUAAGACUGGGAUAACUUCGGGAAACCGGAGCUAAUACCGGAUAAUAUUUUGAACCGCAUGGUUCAAAAGUGAAAGACGGUCUUGCUGUCACUUAUAGAUGGAUCCGCGCUGCAUUAGCUAGUUGGUAAGGUAACGGCUUACCAAGGCAACGAUGCAUAGCCGACCUGAGAGGGUGAUCGGCCACACUGGAACUGAGACACGGUCCAGACUCCUACGGGAGGCAGCAGUAGGGAGUCUUCCGCGAUGGGCGAAAGCCUGACGGAGCAACGCCGCGUGAGUGAUGAAGGUCUUCGGAUCGUAAAACUCUGUUAUUAGGGAAGAACAUAUGUGUAAGUAACUGUGCACAUCUUGACGGUACCUAAUCAGAAAGCCACGGCUAACUACGUG